rnacentral:lncRNA from 1 species
UUGUUUUCAAGUAAAUGCAAUUCUUAGUAACAAAACUAGGAAUAAAACAUAAGAAAGAAAUUAUCUGUGACUACUGGGUGUUAUCAAUCCUACGUUAAGAAAAGGAUAAGAAACUCCUUACAUGAUAUACAGGAGGUAUAAAAGAGUAGCAAAACUCUAAGACUUCUAGUGCUCGAGUGAAGAACUGGUUACUGGGUAGAUGCUAGAACUGGUUGAUGUCAAAGCAAUCUCAAAAGAAGGACAAAACAGUGUGAAAGUUCAGCAACAAUGUAGAGUUUUGCAGCACUUCACCUUGAAGAAAUUGGAAACCACGCACAUCUCAAAACACCUAAAUUCGAUUUUAAUAACCAAAUAUCACCAAAAUUAGUAUUAAUCAAGAGUUCAACACAAAAGAAAUCCUCAAAUCAUAUUUUGCCAACAAUAAAUAGUAAUAAAAAUAUACAUUUAUGCACAAAUGAGAUAUACCCAAAAUAUGUCAACCUCUACUUCAUAUUUAACUUCACAUACUACAAAGAAAAAGGGGGAAGAGACGAAAGCUUGAUUUAUUUUACAUCUACCAAAGCCCUAAAAAUUUUAAUGUAGAAAAAUUGCUAAUAAACAGAGAAAGAAGCAGAGACAUACCAUUAUUUUAGAAAAGAGUUGAUGUAGUAACGCAUCUGGGAAAAUUAAUGAAAGAUUAGAGGAGAAGAAUAAGAAGAAGCAAAGGGGCUGGUUUCUUAGUGUAUUCUUCUGUGAGAAAGAAAGACCUUAUUUUUUAGAAAGGGGCUGGUUUUUCGCUAAAGCAGAACACUUAUUUUGUCGUAACCUUUUUUCCCUAAAUACCAAGCGACAAAA